UAUGCCACCGCUCCCAGUUAGACAUUUUUAAGAUUAAUGAUCGAGUUUGUUUCUCUUUUGGCGGUGCUGGGGAUCAAACCCAGGGCCUCAUGCAUGCUAGGCAAGCACUCUACCACUGAGCCCCAGCCCCAGCCCUUCAAAAAGUCUUCACUCGGGACUCUACAAGGACCUCAGCCUGAAGGCUGAUGUUGGGUAGCAACUGUUUAACGUAUGACAACGACCUGCCAAUCCACUAGUAUCAUCUGUCCCCUGUCUGUUGUUGUUGAUUGCUGAGCCGAUGCUCCUGCUGGCUUUGGGGGCUCUUAGCAUGUUGAUCAGGACCUUGCUGAACCUCGACAGAGUGAUAAAUUGCACACUUUUUUCCCCUCUCCCGAUUCUGUGGCUCCUUUGAAAAGACGAUCCCUCUGAUGUGCCCAAGAAAAUUCUCUUUGAUGUUUGAAGUCGGGACACUUGAGCUUUUAAGGAAUUUUAAGCAGAGAAAAUUAGUCUCUGCCCAUUUUGAGGCAAGCGCGGUCUUGCUCCUCACCGCGGACCUUGGCUUCAAGAGACGCUUUGUUCUCUGCCGUGUCGUUUCCGACUCCUGUCAAGGAGUCUAGCUCCCAUAUUCUGAAACAGGAAUAAAUUGUCCCUUGUUAUGUUAAGUAGAAGAAACUAAAGGGUGAACACGUGUGAGAGGUAAAGUGAUUUGGGAAGAGAAAGCCGAUCAGAGAGUGUUCCCAUUGCCAAGGUCAGGUCGGAAGUAGCUAGAGAUUUCUUUCUUUGAUGCUGUCAAAAUGUAGUAGGUUUUGACUGGUCCAAAAGCGGCACUUCCCAGUGUGUUUCCCUGAGACACCAGUUUCAUAAGAUGAGUGACAGGUGGGGAAAAUUCUAUGGUCAAACAGGUUAGCCAUGAUGGCUCGUUAUGAAUCUCCCCCCCGGGGAGAGAGUCCGCUGUGAUUUCCAAGUUUACCCAGGGCUUGGAUGCCCAGUUUCCUGUUAAGGAAAUACUUGUGAGAUCAGAGCCGAAAGGAGCACACUUUGAGAAGGAUUUAUGUYGAAUUAAUUCUUUGGCUUGAGAUAAUAGAAACAUGCCAACCAGUUGGCACGUUUGCGAUACCAGUCAAGGAAGAGACAUAUCUCUCCGUUUAGGACACAAGUACAUAUUUGGGUCAUAGAUACACCUAGAAGUAUAGUCACUUUUUUCUGUAUCUUCAACAUUUCCUAUUUAUAGAUGAUUAAUAUUCUCCAGUUGAGGUCUUUGAAGCAACCUUGGACGUCUCAGUAACAAUUUUAUUUGCAGUGAAUGGAGAAGAGAAAUAGUUCUUGGCCAUCUCCCAUGRCAGGGAGGCUUGGGUACAUCAUUCUAUUUAAACUUUGUGAUAACUUGACUGAUGUAAGUGUCAAUAGCUUCAGUUUGAAAAUGAAGACAGGGAAAAUCAGAGAGGUGAAGUUUGCCUAAGGCCACACAGUUUGUAAGGGCCAGGGGGGUGUCUGGAUCCCGUGCAGUCUGACUUGACAGCCCGUCCACUUUCCUUCAGAGCACUGGGUUCUCUGCCUUUCCCACUGGUCUACUUGAAUUUGUGCCAUAAUUGAGUACGCUGAUAAUUGAAUGUASACGGAAUAUUUUGAACUGAGUUGUAUUUCCCCACAGAUCAGCAUUAGGAUCUCAGAGAAAAUCAUCUUCAACGACGAACAGUGGGUUCGGGGAACGCUAGCUUUUCAUUGAUUGGUGAAAUAAUGCCGGCUCAAACGUCUUGACCCCGGGGAAGGCUACUUUAUUUCUGUGCCUGUUUCCUCCUCUCUAAGAUGGGAGCCGUUCCGGGAGCAGAGAGAGGAUCCAGCAAGGUCGUGAAAUGGGACAAUGACUUUCARGUCCUUCCGGGAGCUGCACUCCACAGUUUGUAGUGGUGAACAGGAUCCAGACCUUUGCCUGAUGGCACACUUGCAGGUGGCGGUGCGGACGAGUGGGUGAGCUCUUGAGGAACACGUUGGGAUCCCAGACGGGCCAGACUGGGGGCUGCUCGGCUUCUU